GCAAAAUAAAAAAAUAAAUCUGACGACAUCCGUCAUAAUAUUAUAUAUAUAUUUUCUUGGCGUUGUUCGGGAUUGCGCACUAUUCAAAGUGCAUUUUUUUUUAAUUCUUUGGCCUUCUCGUUGGUUUUACAAGGAUAUUGUGUGUGUAAUCACGUGGCGACGACCACAGUACAGCACACGCCAACUGAUCUGCAACUGCAGAGGCCCCGCGCCAAAAAGGAGUGGCAACAACUUUGCAAAGGAAGUUGCCACAAAGCGCCUAGAUAUUUGCAAUUGAGUCACCAGUUUAGUGACGCCCAAGACAGCAGGAAGCUGUAGAAGCUACGCCAUGCGUUGCUAAGGCGGUUCCAG